UCUAUACAGACCCUGGCUUUUC
rnacentral:miRNA from 3 species